GACGAACGCUGGCGGCGUGCUUAACACAUGCAAGUCGAGCGGAAAGGCCCCUUCGGGGGUACGUCGAGCGGCGAACGGGUGAGUAACACGUGAGCAACCUGCCCUUCACUCUGGGAUAAGCCCGGGAAACUGGGUCUAAUACCGGAUACGACUUCGAUCGGCAUCGAUUGAGGUGGAAAGAUUUAUCGGUGAAGGAUGGGCUCGCGGCCUAUCAGCUUGUUGGUGGGGUAAUGGCCCACCAAGGCUUCUACGGGUAGCCGGCCUGAGAGGGCGACCGGCCACACUGGGACUGAGACACGGCCCAGACUCCUACGGGAGGCAGCAGUGGGGAAUAUUGCGCAAUGGGCGAAAGCCUGACGCAGCAAUGCCGCGUGAGGGAUGACGGCCU
rnacentral:rRNA from 1 species